UACGGGGGGGAGCAAGCGUUGUUCGGAUUUACUGGGCGUAAAGGGCGCGUAGGCGGCGCAACAAGUCACUUGUGAAAUCUCCGGGCUUAACCCGGAGCGGUCAAGUGAUACUGUCGUGCUAGAGUGCGGAAGGGGCUACUGGAAUUCUCGGUGUAGCGGUGAAAUGCGUAGAUAUCGAGAGGAAACACCUGCGGCGAAGGCGGGUAGCUGGGCCGACACUGACGCUGAUGCGCGAAAGCCAGGGGAGCGAACGGG
rnacentral:rRNA from 1 species